UAGGGAAUCUUCGGCAAUGGACGAAAGUCUGACCGAGCAACGCCGCGUGAGUGAAGAAGGUUUUCGGAUCGUAAAACUCUGUUGUUAGAGAAGAACAAGGACGUUAGUAACUGAACGUCCCCUGACGGUAUCUAACCAGAAAGCCACGGCUAACUACGUGCCAGCAGCCGCGGUAAUACGUAGGUGGCAAGCGUUGUCCGGGUUUAUUGGGCGUAAAGCGAGCGCAGGCGGUUUCUUAAGUCUGAUGUGAAAGCCCCCGGCUCAACCGGGGAGGGUCAUUGGAAACUGGGAGACUUGAGUGCAGAAGAGGAGAGUGGAAUUCCAUGUGUAGCGGUGAAAUGCGUAGAUAUAUGGGGAAACACCAGUGGCGAAGGCGGCUCUCUGGUCUGUAACUGACGCUGAGGCUCGAAAGCGUGGGGAGCAAACAGG
rnacentral:rRNA from 1 species